AAUUUAUAAUAGGUAACGUAAUUGAAAUUAAUCGUGGAGAUAUAAAUACAGUAGUAUGGACGACUAUACUAGUAUAUGUAGUAGAUAAGAUUUGGAUUUUAUAAAUUAAGUAAAAUUAAUAUAUGAACCUAUCUAAGCUAGAGAUAGCAGAUCUAACUCAAAAGAUAUGAACUGAAACAUCUCAGUAGUAUCUAGCAUAAAACCAACAGGGAGUUAAAGUGUAUUGGUGAAAGAAAUUUAACUAAGUAACAUAGUAGUUCUUUGUAGAAUGAAAAUAGUAGUUGCUACUACUAAUGCGUAGAGUAUAUACUAAGUAAUAAGUACUGUAAAGGAAAGUCGAAAUACUAAAUUUUAUUUUAUUAUAUUGUAAGCUAGUAGAAGUAUAGUUUUAUAUAUUUUAUAAACAAAGCCUUUUAAUACUACAUUUAGUAGAAUUAAAUGUAUAUAAAUGAAAAUAUUAAUUAUUAAAAAUAGUAUAGAAAUACUACUGUAAGGAGCAGUCAUAGAAUGGCGUACCUCUUGUAUAAUGGGUCAGUGAGUUAUACUAUAUAGCGAAGUGUAAGCUGUAUAUAAUAGAAAAAUAAUCAUAAUUUUUUUAUAAAAUGAUAAGUUAUAUAGUAUAGACCCGAAAGCUCAGGAUCUAAAUAUGGCCAAAUUUAUAAAUUUUAAAUUUAUAAGAUUCAACUGCUGUAUGUAGCAAUAUACUCAGAAGAGCUGUAUUUAGUAGUGAAAGUCUAAUCUAAUGAGCAGAUAGCUGGUUUUCUAUGAAAUAUAUUUUAGUAUAGCAUACAGUAUCUACUAGACUAGAUAAAUCACUAGUAAUUAAUAGGGAGUAUUUUUCUUAUCUAUUAUUACUAAUAUCAGAACUAGAUCUAGUAUUAUACUAUAUAGUCAGUCUUAUAGCGAGAAGGUUGUAAGACGAAAAGGAAACAACCUAGACUGCUAUGUGUAAGUCCCAAAAUGAAUACUAAGUGGACCUAAUCUUAAAGCUAUUCUACAGCUCACUUAUUCAAUAUUUUUAAAGAAAUAAAUCUACUAUAUGUAGUUAUGUUUUUAAUAUAAUUAUAUGAAAGUAAUAUCUACUUCCGUCGAGCUACUGCUAGCAGUAGCUCGACGGACUUGGAAAGAUGUAUUAGUGUUUUUAAUAUUAAUAUAUUUAAUAAAUAUCUACUAUGUGGAUUGAAAUAAUUUUAAAUAUUAAAGAAUAAAACUAACAGAAUUAUCUGCUAGGAGCAGUAGAAUGUUUAGCUAUUUUAUUAAUUUAAUAAAAGUAAGAUUCAGCUAGUAGAACAGUAAAUAUGAUAGUAAUUAUCUGAUAAUGAAUGUGUAACAACUUAUCUACUAAGUAAUCUUUAUUAAGAAAAAAUAUAAGGGCCUAAGUAUACUACUGAACAGCAGAUUUUUAAUAAAAAUAGUAAUAGAAUAUACUACACUACUAGUAGUAAAGAAUAUGCUGACUUGAGUAACGAUAGAGAAGUAUAGCUUCUCCUCUAUAGUAUAAGGUUUAACUAUAAAUUAACGGUCUCUAAUACUACAUAUAGUAAUAUAUAGUAGAUGAGUAAUAUAACUAGAAAUUAUAUGCUACCGUACUGUAGACCGACACUGGUGUACUACAUUUAGCUUAAAAGAAAUUAACUUUUUAGUAAAAAUGGUAAUAGAGAAUAGCAUAAACUUACUUAAUGAACUCGGCAAUGAGAAAAACUUCUUAUAUAUGGUGCGACUGUUUAACAAAAACACAGUCUACUGCUAGCUAGCAUUAGUCAGUAUAGUAGAUGAUAUCUGCCCAGUGUGAGUUAUAUAAUAGCAUAAAUAAUUCAUAAACGGCGGUCUUAUCAUGAGGAUCCUAAGGUAGCGAAAUUCAUUGACGCAUAAUUAGCGUCCUGCAUGAAUGAUUAUACGAUGUCAUAAAUGUAUCAAGUAAGUAGUUAGUGAAAUAGUAAUUGCAGUGAAGAUACUGUAUAUAGCAAUAGGUUGACGAGAAGACCCUAUGCAGCUUUACUAUAGGAUUGCAUUGUUUUAAUUUUUAAUCUUGAGUAAAGUAGUAAUACACACUAGUAUAUAAAAAUGUAAAACUAAUCUAAAUAAAUUAAUAUUUUUUAUAAAUAUUAACUGCUAGAUACAGUGCAAUUUUGGUAGUUUCGAUGGGGCGUCGACAUCACAAAAAAUAACUGAUGUGUCUAUCUGAUUUAGUAUAUACAGUUGUAUUUUAUACAAAUAAUAAAUUGAACAGAUACAGCUACGCUAGAUUGUAACUAGUUAUGAAAUUAUUAUAAAAAUUUUUCUUAUAGGUUUCAUUAUGAUAAUUGGAUAAUAAUAUAACUGUGUCAUGAUAGAUGUUCUUACUAGAAUAUCUAGUACGUAAGUAUAGUAUAAUGAACAGACAAGCUACAUAUAGCUAUGAUUGUCGAUAACGGAUCAAAGUUACGCUAGGGAUGACAUUUGUCCUACUGUGUAGUGAUAUACAGAAAAUAAUAAAAAUUGGGUGAAUUGCAAAGACAUCUAGCUUAUAGACAAUUUGCAGCGAAACUUAUAUUAGUUCUAGUACAAGUAGUAUAGAUUUUGAUAAAUAUAAUAUAUUAAAUUAACACUAUAUCUAGUUAAUAAUUUAUAUAUAUUUGAUCAUUUAUAAUUUAUACUACAGCUAGUAGAUAUAUGGACGUUCAACGACUAGAAAGUGAGUAUACUAACAAUAAUCUUUCCAAGAGAGCCCAACAUCUUUUUUUAUAUAAGCUAUCAGUAAUAGUGAUUUUAAUAAUUUUAACUUUUUAUAUAUUUUAUACCUAAUUUUAUAUACUACAUUUUCCCAAAUCCAUCGAGCUACUGCUAGCAGUAGCUCGAUGGAAGUAUAAACAUUAAAGAAUUAUAAUAAUAACAUAACUUAAUAAUCAGUUAUUAAUAUCUACUACAAGCAUUAUAAUUAUUAAAGAAUUAGAUUAUUAAUAAAAUCAAGUAUGUGUAAUAUACAUAUUUUAGUUUAAAAAUUAUAAAAUUAAUUACUGUAUAAAGUACAUAUUUUGAUAAUUAAUACUUUAUUUGAAUUAUAAGCUAUAUGUAUUAUAGAUAUAUUAUAUGCUACAGGUAUUAUAUAUAUUUUAUAUAAGAUAAAAAAGUAAUAAAAUGAAUAAAAUUAUCUACUACGAGUAUUAUAAAUUUAAAAGAUGAUGACAUAGUCUGAACUAUAUAGUAAUAUAUAGGGUAUCAUUUAAGCUAUGAUACAGUAACAAAAUUGAACAGAGUAAUAUCGCUAGAGAGUUGAUAUCGUCAGCGAUGCUUGCUACCUCGAUUGACAUUUUAGUCGAGUAUAAAUAAGGUGAAUUGCAAAGACAUCUAGCUUAUAGAGUUAGACAAUUUGCAGCGAAGUAUAUUCUAUAUGAAAGUAAACUACAUGUAGUGUAAAUUUAUUAAAUCAAUAAUAAAUAAUAUUAUAAACUAUUAUAAGCUAUAUUAAGUAUCUAAUUUAUAAAUUAAUAUCUUAAACAAAAGUAUAUUUUAUAUAGUAAACUUUUUAUAAAUUUAAAGUUUUAUAUAAGUAAGCUAUAUAUAUUAUAUAAGUUAUAAAACAUAAGUUAGUUAUAUAUAGUAUAUAGAUUAUAAGAAAAUAUAAUAUUUAUUUAAAUAAGCUACAUAUAGUAUACUAAAGGAGUAUAAACGUUCAACGACUAGUAAAUUGAGUAAUAUAACAAUACAUUUACCAUGAGCGCCUUAAUAUUAUAAAUUUUCUAAAAAAUGAAAAAAGUAUAAUAUAUGACAUAGUCUGAACUAAAAUGUAAAUUUUAGAAAUUAAUUUAAAAGAUUAAUGCUAACAGUAUUGGUCGUCUAGGCUCAUCCUUCUGGUAGCAGUAACUAGAAAGGGUAUGACUGUUCGUCAUUUAAAGAGCUACUUGAGAUGGGUUAAUUACGGCGUGAGCCAGUAAUGAUUCUAUCAUCUAUUGCAAAAGUCUAGUCUUUUACUUAUAUGUGUACGAGAGGAUUAUAUAAGGUGUAUCUAUUGUUAAAAUGAGCAAUCAUAUAAGCUACAUACAUUAUAGAUUAAGAUUGAGUGCGUAUCAAAUCUGAAACUGAAAAAGACUAUACUAUAUCAUUGAAGAUAACAAUGUUUUAGUAUAUUUUUUAUUUUAAAACAUAACUCUACUAUGAGUAGUAUGUUUUUGAAAAUAUAACUAAUUUAUUACAUCUCUAUAAUUAACAAUUACGUAUUAUAUUUACCUUAUAAUUAUUAUAAAUAUUAAACUAAUGAUUACUACUAUCUA
rnacentral:rRNA from 1 species